GGCGCUUCCGGCCUGGCGGCCCGGGCGGGGUACGCAGAAGUGAGCCGGAAAGGGAGGGCGACGGGAGGACGCGAGGCUUCCGGCUUUGCUGUCCGGCGGCUGGCUGCUGCGGCUGCGUAUUUAUCUAAAUUCAACGACCAUUGAAAAUUCAAAAGGACACAGACAGCUCUGAACUCUCAAAAUGUAUGGAAUAGAUUUAUCCUCAAACCUUGAAUGACUCCACCAUGAACUGAGAAUCAACCAGGAAAACUCCACAGACUCGGAACUCCCACUGUUCUAGCUGCUGGACCAGCUGUUUCAUCACAGG